GUCCUUGGAUGAAUGGUCUAAACCGUUGGUUUUCGACCGCUACGACCCGGGUUCGAUUCCUGGAUUGGGCA